rnacentral:rRNA from 1 species
UACGAGGGGGGCGAGCGUUGUUCGGAAUUAUUGGGCGUAAAGGGUGCGUAGGCGGUUUGGUAAGUCUCGUGUGAAAUCUACAGGCUCAACUUGUAGUCUGCACGAGAAACUGCCGGGCUUGAGUAUGGGAGAGGUGAGUGGAAUUCCUGGUGUAGCGGUGAAAUGCGUAGAUAUCAGGAGGAACACCAAUGGCGAAGGCAGCUCGCUGGGACGGUACUGACGCUGAGACGCGAGAGCGUGGGGGAGCAAACAGG